GGAAACUGUCAGGACUCUGGAAAUCCCCACCAGCUCCUUGAGAAGCCAGCUUGAUUAGGACAGUGAAACCUGGUGAACUUGGCCAGUCAGCACCUGAACUACCAGAAAAUCCCUCCCUCUGAAGUCACUGGAAACUGUCAGGACUCUGGAAAUCCCCACCAGCUCCUUGAGAAGCCAGCUUGAUUAGGACAGUGAAACCUGGUGAACUUGGCCAGUCAGCACCUGAACUACCAGAAAAUCCCUCCCUCUGAAGUCACUGGAAACUGUCAGGACUCUGGAAAUCCCCACCAGCUCCUUGAGAAGCCAGCUUGAUUAGGACAGUGAAACCUGGUGAACUUGGCCAGUCAGCACCUGAACUACCAGAAAAUCCCUCCCUCUGAAGUCACUGGAAACUGUCAGGACUCUGGAAAUCCCCACCAGCUCCUUGAGAAGCCAGCUUGAUUAGGACAGUGAAAGUAUGUGCUAACCUUCA